rnacentral:ncRNA from 3 species
GAACGCCGUGUGCGGUGAAAGUCGCACGCACGGUGUGGACCGGGGGAAAAGACGGAGAUAAUAUCAAACUCUUACCUAUCGGAAU